UCCGGCUUAUCACCGGCAGUCCCUUUAGAGUGCCCAACUGAAUGGUGGCAACUAAAGGCGAGGGUUGCGCUCGUUGCGGGACUUAACCCAACAUCUCACGACACGAGCUGACGACAGCCAUGCAGCACCUGUCACCGAUCCAGCCUAACUGAAGGAUACCAUCUCUGGUGCCCGCGAUCGGGAUGUCAAAGGUUGGUAAGGUUCUGCGCGUUGCUUCGAAUUGAACCACAUGCUCCACCGCUUGUGCGGGCCCCCGUCAAUUCCUUUGAGUUUCAGCCUUGCGGCCGUACUCCCCAGGCGGGGCACUUAAUGCGUUAGCGCCGGCGCGGAUCUCGUUGGUUGAGACCCACACCUAGUGCCCAACGUUUACGGCGUGGACUAC
rnacentral:misc_RNA from 1 species